UACCUGGUCCAAAAACUACAGAAACAGAGCCAGCAGAUUGCACAGGACGAGCUCCGGGUGCGACGGUACCGAGAGGAGACCACCCGCAUCCGCCAGGAGAUCCAGGAGCUCAAGGCGAGGUACUUGGCGACUAGAUAUGUGGAGGGGGGAUAAUCUUGUUCUUCACUGGGUGUCAUUAAAUACUUUUCAUAGAGGAUUGUAUGAAAAUAUGUUCAAACUUUGCAUUUUUGAAGAUCUGUUUUAAUGGAAGAAUUCCAAAGAAUGGUUUAUUCCAUAGAUCGUUAUUUAUUAGGUUUUUGGAGGAUGUUAACUUGCAGCAGGUGUUUUUCUUUUUAUGAGUCUGUAUUUUUUUCUAAAGACACAUUUUUUUUUUUUUUUUUUUUUUUAAGAGAGGGAAAGGGAGACAGGGCGAGAGCAGGGGAGGGCUGUGAGAUCAUGACCUGAGCUAAAAUCAGGAGUCAGAUGGCAAGCACUGAUCUUUUUUUUUUUUUUAAUUUUUUUUUUUUCAACGUUUAUUUAUUUUUGGGACAGAGAGAGACAGAGCAUGAACGGGGGAGGGGCAGAGAGAGAGGGAGACACAGAAUCGGAAGCAGGCUCCAGGCUCUGAGCCAUCAGCCCAGAGCCUGACGCGGGGCUCGAACUCACGGACUGCGAGAUCGUGACCUGGCUGAAGUCAGACGCUUAACCGACUGCGCCACCCAGGCGCCCCNUUUUUUUUUUUUUUUUAAUUUUUUUUUUUUCAACGUUUAUUUAUUUUUGGGACAGAGAGAGACAGAGCAUGAACGGGGGAGGGGCAGAGAGAGAGGGAGACACAGAAUCGGAAGCAGGCUCCAGGCUCUGAGCCAUCAGCCCAGAGCCUGACGCGGGGCUCGAACUCACGGACUGCGAGAUCGUGACCUGGCUGAAGUCAGACGCUUAACCGACUGCGCCACCCAGGCGCCCCAGCAAGCACUGAUCUUAACACAGACAGAAAAAAGCCCUGCCAUGUGGAGCUUACAACAUAGAGGUAGGCAGGCGCUGAAUACAUUCAACAAAAUAUUACAGUAUGUCAGAUGGUGAUAAGGUCUAAGGAGAAAACUAGUUUAAGAAGGGGAGUGGGGUGCUGUGUGUGUGUGUGUGUGUGUGUGUGUGCACGCUCGUUUAUAAGGUGGCCAGGAAAGUCCUCACUGGAAGGAUCAUGUCUAAGUAAAGAUCUGAAAGGUACAAGUUCCCCAGCUGUGGAACGAAUGUCACGGGGAUGAAAGGUACAGCACAGGGAACGUAGUCAGUGUGGUAAUGGUGCUGUGUGGUGACAGAUGGUAGGUACACUUGUGGUGAGCGUAUAGCGCAACACACAGACUUGUCAGUCACCAUGUUGUACACCCAAAAAUAAUGUAACGUAUGUUAAUUAUACUUCAAUUAAAAACAACAACAAAAAAACGGCGCCUGGGUAGCUCACUCGGAUUGUGUCCGACUUCAGCUCAGGUCAUGAUCUCAAGGUUCACGGGUUUGAGUCCCGUGUCAGGCUCGCUGCUGUCAGCUCGGAGCCUGCUUCGGAUCCUCUGUCCCCUUCUCUCCCCGCCCCUCCCCCACUUGUGUGUGUGUGCUCCCUCUGUCUCAAAAAUAAACAAACGUGAAAAAUUUUUAAAAACCGUGAAAGACAAUUUAGUGGUGGUUGUGAAAACUGAACCGGUUAGCCGGACUUGCUGGAAGCACGCUGAGACUCUGCAGGCCCGGGCGGCAUCCUCAUUUCACUCCCUUUUGGUGGUUAAGAGCAAGACCUUGUAGUCCCUCGACAGGGACCCCUCAUCGACUCCAGCCACCUUCUCUCUGCACCCGGCUCUUGGCUCUGCCCCCACUCUUUGCCACUCCUUUCUGGUCUCCCUUGCCUGCAGUCCGAAGAUUUUCCAGAAGACCAAGUGCAGCAUCUGUAACAGUGCCUUGGAGCUGCCCUCCGUCCACUUUCUCUGCGGCCACUCCUUCCACCAGCACUGCUUUGAGAGUUACUCGGAAAGUGAUGCCGACUGCCCCACCUGCCUCCCUGAAAACCGGAAGGUCAUGGAUAUGAUCCGGGCCCAGGAACAGAAACGCGAUCUCCAUGAUCAGUUCCAGCACCAGGUGGGCAUGAGUGGGUAGAUGACUGCCCCACUCACGGAGAGUCACCGGAGCAUUCGCUUCUUUUCUUUCCUCCUCCUCAGGACAGGACACCUGCAGUUCUGAUUCUUCUCUCCUCUUUCCCUGCAGCUCAAGUGCUCCAACGAUAGCUUCUCUGUGAUUGCUGACUACUUCGGCCGAGGGGUUUUCAACAAAUUGACUCUGCUGACCGACCCUCCCACGGCCAGGCUGACUGCAAGCCUGGAGGCUGGGCUGCAGCGGGACUUGCUCAUGCACUCCAGGAGGGGCACUUAAACAGCUCAGGGGAAGGGGUGUGAUAGUGGAGGCACAGUAGUAGGGACAUGGGGGACAGAGGCAGGGCUGUUGCACAGGAGUCAGGCAGACAUGCCCAGGACUCCACCCUGAUCUGAUGCCAUAGCCCUCAGGACUAAAGAGGACUUUUUCUCCCUUCUUUGGCCAGCCCGCCAUUCCUCCUGUUGACUUUUUGAGCAGUGUGGAUCAUUCCAGACCAGCGGGGGAGGGUACCUCAGCAACCUCUGAGUGUGGACAAUAGCUGCUUUGUUCUCUAUCCAAGGGCACCAGGCUGUGCUUGGGUCCUUGCUCCCAGAGUCUAUAAAUAAAAGAAUAUAAUG
rnacentral:lncRNA from 1 species